rnacentral:tRNA from 2 species
GGCCCCAUCGUCUAGCCUGGUCCAGGACGUCAGGUUCUCAUCCUGAAAACCGGGGUUCGAAUCCCCGUGGGGUCA